rnacentral:rRNA from 1 species
UACAGAGGGGGCAAGCGUUGUCCGGAGUUACUGGGCGUAAAGGGUCUGUAGGCGGCCAAGCAAGUGUCGUGUGAAAGCCCCGUGCUUAACACGGGGGAGGCCACGGCAGACUGCUCGGCUCGAGGGAUGCAGAGGGUGGUGGAAUUGCCGGUGUAGUGGUGAAAUGCGUAGAGAUCGGCAGGAACACCCAGGGCGAAAGCAGCCACCUGGGCAUCAACUGACGCUGAUGGACGAAAGCGUGGGGAGCGAACCGG